GAACGCGAAGAACCUUACCCGGGCUUGAACUAAGAGUGACAGAUUUAGAGAUAGAUUUUUCUUCGGACACUCUUGGAGGUGCUGCAUGGUUGUCGUCAGCUCGUGCCGUGAGGUGUCGGCUUAAGUGCCAUAACGAGCGCAACCCUUUUCCUUGGUUGCCAUCAGGUAAUGCUGGGCACUCCAGGGAUACUGCCAUCGUAAGAUGUGAGGAAGGUGGGGAUGACGUCAAAUCAGCACGGCCCUUACGUCCGGGGCUACACACGUGUUACAAUGGGGGGUACAGAAGGUCGCUACCUGGUGACAGGAUGCUAAUCUCCAAAACCUCUCUCAGUUCGGAUCGGAGUCUGCAACCCGACUCCGUGAAGCUGGAUUCGCUAGUAAUCGCGCAUCAGCCAUGGCGCGGUGAAUACGUUCCCGGGUCUUGUACACACC
rnacentral:rRNA from 1 species